AUGGAAGAGGCAGCAGGUGGAGGACAACACUGUGGAAGGGAGAGAUCUGUGGGGAUAAGAGAUGGAGGAGAGACAGAGGUGGCAGAAGGCUUCACUCGUCCUAAAGUGAGCGUCCUGCCGCCCUCCAGUGAAGAGAUUUCCACAAAGAAAACAGCAACACUGAUGUGUGUGCUCAACAAGGGUUUCCCCUCAGACUGGAGUGUGAUGUGGAAGGUGGACGGGAGCAGCAGAUCUCAGGACAGCAGUGUUGGGCUCCUGGAGAAGGACGGUCUGUACAGCUGGAGCAGCAGUCUGACUCUCUCUGAGCAGGAGUGGAGCUCAGUGCUCUCAGUGAGCUGUGAGGCCAAACACAAAGAUCCCAGUCAUACAGUCACUGGAGAAUUCAGGAGAGAUGAUGAGUGUUCACACUAG